UACGUAGGUGGCAAGCGUUAUCCGGAAUCAUUGGGCGUAAAGCGCACGUAGGCGGUUCGUUAUGUCGGAUGUGAAAGCCCUUGGCUUAACCGAGGAAGUGCAUCCGAAACUGGCGAGCUAGAGUACUAAAGAGGAUCGCGGAAUUCCCGGUGUAGAGGUGAAAUUCGUAGAUAUCGGGAGGAACACCGGUGGCGAAGGCGGCGAUCUGGGUAGAUACUGACGCUGAGGUGCGAAAGCGUGGGGAGCAAACAGG
rnacentral:rRNA from 1 species